GAAAGAACAAUUUGUGGAAGAAUAAUUCUUUGACGUGAAUGGACACUUAAAUUCCAAAUACAAGGUUGAGUUCAACUCGACUGUACCGAUCAGCUUUAAACAAAAGGAUCCUUCAGGUUAUAAGAAGUUUAAAACAAAUUAAAGACUAAUUAUUAACCUCAGUUUCUGCUUCUACAGCUUAUUCUCACUUACAAGUCUACGAAAAACGAAUCCCAGGUUAUCUGGACUGAGCCUGGUCUUGGAGACAAAAGCAUGUCGUCAUACUUGAUGUGCCAAAUGAAGUGGCAUACGGUGCUGGUCACAAAACAGGGGCGGAACAUAACCAUCAUACUGGACAAACACCUUGCUUCGAGCGGCCUUGUGAUAGAUCAAGGGGAGGACAUCAAUGGGCAACUCUUUCUGGGUGGAUACCCAGGUUAUUAUCCGUUGGGCCCGCAAAAAGUGUAUGUUGGACUAAAAGGUUGCCUCAAAUCAUUUACCUUGGAUGGGAAUCCACUUC